CCUACGGCGGGCAGCAGUGGGGGAUAUUGCACAAUGGGGGGAACCCUGAUGCAGCGACGCCGCGUGGGUGAAGGAGCGUUUCGGCGCGUAACGCCCUAUCGGCAGGGAAGAAGGAGGACGGUACCUGACUAAGAAGCCCCGGCUAACUACGUACCAGCAGCCGCGGUAAUACGUAGGGGGCAAGCGUUAUCCGGAUUUACUGGGUGUACAGGGGGCGCAGACGGCAGCGCAAGCCAGGAGUGAAAGCCCCGGGCCCAACCCCGGGACUGCUCUUGGAACUGCGAGGCUGGAGUGCAGGAGGGGCAGGCGGAAUUCCUGGUGUAGCGGUGAAAGGCGUAGAUAUCAGGAGGAACACCGGUGGCGAAGGCGGCCUGCUGGACUGCGACUGACGUUGAGGCCCGAAAGCGUGGGGAGCAAACAGGAUUAGAUACCCCAGUAGUC
rnacentral:rRNA from 1 species